rnacentral:rRNA from 1 species
UACGUAGGGUGCGAGCGUUGUCUGGAAUUAUUGGGCGUAAAGGGCUCGUAGGCGGUCUGUUGCGUCGGGAGUGAAAACUCAGGGCUUAACCCUGAGCCUGCUUCCGAUACGGGCAGACUAGAGGUAUGCAGGGGAGAACGGAAUUCCUGGUGUAGCGGUGAAAUGCGCAGAUAUCAGGAGGAACACCGGUGGCGAAGGCGGUUCUCUGGGCAUUACCUGACGCUGAGGAGCGAAAGUGUGGGGAGCGAACAGG